AGGGAAUAUUGCACAAUGGAGGAAACUCUGAUGCAGCGACGCCGCGUGAGUGACGAAGGCCUUCGGGUUGUAAAGCUCUGUUCUCUGGGAAAAAGAAAGCGAUUGUACCAGAGAAGAAAGGACCGGCUAACUUCGUGCCAGCAGCCGCGGUAAGACGAGGGGUCCAAGCGUUGUUCGGAAUUAUUGGGCGUAAAGCGGGUGUAGGUGGCUCUAUAAGUCAGGAGUGAAAUCCCCAAGCUUAACUUGGGAAGUGCUUUUGAUACUGCAGAGCUUGAAUGUGGGAGAGGAUAAUAGAAUUCCAGGUGUAGUGGUGAAAUACGUAGAUAUCUGGAGGAAUACCGGUGGCGAAGGCGGUUAUCUGGCCCAACAUUGACACUGAGGCCCGAAAGCGUGGGGAUCAAAC
rnacentral:rRNA from 1 species